CUUGUUUUCUAGUUCUUUGGGAAUUCCCCACCCUCAUGGGCUUCCUUGUUUCUCGGGGUUACGGAACGUUCAUCACGUUCCAGGGCAAUCUAAUUCGGCAAGGACGCGGUUCCUCAUAACAUCGUCUCCUUGCUCUAUACAAUGGAGGGUAAGAUUCAAAAUGGAGCCUCUUUGGCUAACACCACUCUCCACACACCGCUCUCCACAACAUACACAAGUGCAAAGCCUAGAGACCUACAGAGGGUGAGGUUCCUGCUUAGGCCUCAGGAUGCACCCUCUUGGUUCCUGAGGUCCUUGAACCAAGGAACUCCCCGUUUGGGAAGAGAGCCUUCCUUUAGAUAUGGCAGUGCCUCCACCUGAGCCUUGCCCCAGCUUGCAACUUUGAUCCAAGCCUUUCUGUCUGGAUCCAUCACCUGAAGGGUAGAAGCAAUCACAAUACAAUUUGAGGAGGCCUGUGCUAAGAACUACGACAUCAUGUGUCUGUAUUUAAUAGAUGUGUAGGAAUGGCAUUCUUGUUUAUUAUGUGCACACAAUUUGUCAUGCUAUCCAUGAAAUAUUCCUUAUUCAAUCUUCUUCCUAGCUAUAUUUUGUAUUUGUAUUGGCUAAAUUCUCUAAUUUUCUGUGGAAAGAAACACCAUACAUUUGGACACUAUGAGUUCUAAUAUUCCUAGUUUCCUAUUCAGUUCUCAUCCCAUUCCAGGCAGGUGGAAGUUGGGCCCCCUUUAGAGGUCAGGGUUCUGUGCCUGUUUGUGGCUACUUGUGAGCAGAAGCAGGAUAAAACCCAGGCACCUCUGUCUGUCUGUCCUAUGGUAUGUGAUUCUGAAGGAGGCUUUGUUUUAGUGGCACAGGUACAAAUCAGCCAACCUGGACCACUGAGCCAUAGCAAGAGGGAAAGUUGCCUCGAAGAGGUCCCUGCAUCAUCUCCAAGCUUUUGUUGCAUUAAGCCACUGAGAUUUGGAUUUGUUUGUUAUUAUAAGGCAAUAUAUCUCAUUCUGAUAAAUAAAUCACUGAAAAAAUGCUGGAACAUUUUCAUACUUUUACAUUAUCAAUAGGUUAUACAUGGCACUUCCUUUUGAUUUAAUAUAGUGGCACAGACUCACCAGCUUAUAACCUUGAUAAUUAUGUUUCUGGUCUAGAAACCUCCUGCCUCCCUUUUUUCCAUUUUGGAGAAAUCACAUUCGUUAAAAUUCUUGUAGAUGGAAAUGACAGAAACCUAUCCCAAUGCAAACUAAAGUUAUAUAACCAAAGUUAAAAGUUUGCAUU